UACAGAGGUCUCAAGCGUUGUUCGGAUUCAUUGGGCGUAAAGGGUGUGUAGGUGGCGCGCUAAGUCGGGUGUGAAAUUUCGGAGCUUAACUCCGAAACUGCAUUCGAUACUGGCGUGCUUGAGGACUGGAGAGGAGACUGGAAUUUACGGUGUAGCAGUGAAAUGCGUAGAUAUCGUAAGGAAGACCAGUGGCGAAGGCGGGUCUCUGGACAGUUCCUGACACUGAGACACGAAAGGCCAGGGGAGCAAACGGG
rnacentral:rRNA from 1 species